CAAUAGCGUAUAUUAAAGUUGUUGCGGUUAAAAAGCUCGUAGUUGGAUUUCUGCUGAGAACGACCGGUCCGCCCUCUGGGUGUGUAUCUGGCUCUUUCUUGGCAUCUUCUUGGUGAACGUUGCUGCACUUGACUGUGUGGAGCGCUACCCAGGACUUUUACUUUGAGGAAAUUAGAGUGUUUCAAGCAGGCAUACGCCUUGAAUACAUUAGCAUGGAAUAAUAAGAUAGGACCUCGGUUCUAUUUUGUUGGUUUCUAGAGCUGAGGUAAUGAUUAAUAGGGAUAGUUGGGGGCAUUCGUAUUUAACUGUCAGAGGUGAAAUUCUUGGAUUUGUUAAAGACGGACUACUGUGAAAGCAUUUGCCAAGGAUGUUUUCAUUGA
rnacentral:rRNA from 1 species